CUUUAACGUUUGGCUUUCCUGCAUUCUUGAGCGGGGUUUCCCGGAGUUCACCCAUCUAUAAUUUGAAUGGUUCUAUAAAAGAAACCAUUAAAGCUGAGCCCCUAGGAAUUGUGUUUCCCCCACUAGAAGGCUUUUAGGGCAAAAUAAAAAUGCCUGGCCUGAAAAGCUGAUGCUGUUCCAGAUACCUUAAAUCCACGCGCUGCAAAAAGUCUCUCUGUACCUCUGAGUGAAGGUGUCUGGCUUGCCUUGGGCAGCUGUCAGGACAGCCACAUCCAGGGAGCCACAGCCUCAGCUGAGAAAUGUCAGGACAGAGGGGCAAGAAGUGAGUCUCAAGGGUGUUUAAACCCGCAUCUGCCACUAACCAGCCUGUGUGGGCUGAGAGAGGCAAGUUGUAUGCUGGGGCCUGAAUUUCCUCAUCUGUAAAAUGGGGAUGAUGCCAUGAGACUCAUCUGUCCCCCCUUUCCGUGAUAGCCAACCGGAUUUUCAUUAAGGCAGUUGUGCCUUACAUAGCCUCCACCCUGGCCUUAGAGGUGGGGCCUGUGGUUUAAUAAAAGGCAACUAAUCCUCUGGCUACAGUGAUUAGUUCAGGGAUGAGCACAUGACCCAUUUUGGCCAAUAAAUGAAGGAGAAGUAUCCUGGAGGUUUCUGGAAAAGAAGCCUCCCACUCUAGUGUCCAGAAGGAAGCCUGCCCUCUCUCUCUCUCUCUCUCUCUCUCUCUCUACACGAUUGAGGGAGGAGGGAUAGAUGGAGCCACAGAAACAGCCACCAUCUGGCAACCACAGGUGACCAUGUUUCCAAAGAGGCCACCCUGGUAGAAGGCAGAACAGAGACCGGGUCUCUCCUGACAUUGCUAAGUCACUGGAUCAAGCCAGCCCUGAAGCCCGCAUUCUCACCCCAGCCACUAAGAUGAAAAACCCUUCGAUUUCUUAGUCUGAACUGGUAUUUUGGGUUGUUCUUGCCCCUUUCCUAGAGACUUGGGGACAGGGAGCAUGGUGCCAGCCAUCUGGAACCUGACGUGGAACAGGUGCUCUGAGGACAGGUAUGGAAUCUUCCCCUUUGUCACCAAGUUUGGAAAAAGGUUCAGAUUUUUAACCUAAAGGCUGAACAACACCACAGCAGACACUUAUUCACCUUCAACAACAACAACAACAAAGGGAUACAGAAAAUACACUGGCAAUUCCUAAAAAAAGUUUAAUAUGUAGUCUUCACGUGACCCAACAAUUCCACUCCUAGGCGUGUACCCACGAGAACUGAAAACACGGGUUCACAUGAAAAACUUGUACACAAGAGUUGGCAGCAGCAUUAUUUAUGAUGGCCAAAAAGUGGAAACAACCCGAUGUCCAUUAACAAAUGAAUGGAUAAACAAAAUAUGGUGAAUCCAUAUAGUGGAAUAUUGUUUGCCAUAAAAAGGAGUCAUUUUCUGAUCCAUGAUACAACACGGACAAACCUUCAACUCGUUACACGAAAUGGAAGAAGCCAGAUACAAAAGCCACACAUUGAAUGAUCCUAUUUCUAUGAAAUGUCCGGAACAGGUAAAUCCAUAGAAACAGAAAGUAGCUUACUGGUUGCCUAGAGCUAGGGGUUGGGGGAGCAGAGAGUGGCUCUUAAGGGAUAUUUCGGAGUGAUACGGAAACGUUCUAGAAUCAGACAAUGGGAUGGCUGCACAACAAUGAGAAUAUACUAAAAAAAAAAAAAAAAAAUCACCAAAUUGCACUCUUUGAAAUGGUGAGUUUUAUGUUAGGAAAAUUAGAUCUCACAUUUUUUAAAAAACUAAAAAGCAAAACAGGGGUGGGAAUGACCCACUCACUGUGCCUUAGAGGGACAGUUUGUAUAAAUAAACAGUAAGGAUGCCUACCGCAGUGUCUGGCUGUUUACCCAAUAAAUGCCUGCCUCACCAGCAGCAGACUGGGAGCUCAUGGCCCACCCCAUCCUCAACACAGCCCCAGGGCAGAUGCUGCAACCUCACUUUGCAAAGGAGGAACAAGACUCUGAGUGAGGAAGGCCUUUGAGCUGGUCCACGGCAAGGCCAAGAUUCGAACCCUGGUCUGUCAAAACCAAAGCCUGCAUUCUCUGCCACGACAACCACAAGCUCUCGUGCUGCAAACACACCCAAGGCCUCCCUUCCGUCUGGGUUUACAGUCAGUUCUCAACUAGGGUCAAAGCUCCCCAGAAGGGGGUGGGACCUACACAUGAGCUUGGAGGUCAGCACCCCAGGGGUGGGGAGGGGACAACUUCUUCCAACAGCUAGGUCUUUUUGUCCCUGUUAUUCCUUGAAAUGUCAAAUGCCUGACUAUAGUCAUUUGGAAGAAAUUGGACUGAAAUACUCUGAACUCAGUUAUCUGACUUUUUCUUGGGGUACAGGGGGCUCUGAAAACAAUACCUGAUGACUGCAAACAGAGGAAAUCACAGAGAAGAACGUAGGCCCUGGAACAUCUUGCUCAGAGCCCAUUUGCGGGCAGCGACCUCCCAUCCAUCCCCAGGCGCCAGCACCGGCUAUACAAUCUGCAAGGCCCGGUGCAAAAUGAAAAUGUGGGGCCUCUUGUUCAAAAGUGAUUCAUCAUUUCAAGGUGGGGGCAGCAGAAGCAAACCCAGCACAGGGCCCUUCUAAGUUCACCCACACCUGUGAGGCUGGCCCCAUCGCACACGCGUGACGCAGAGACAGGGUGCCAUUCCACAUGAUUGGGACUGCACCGUCAAUCCUGUUUCAUAUCACUCUGCCCUUUACGUAAUAUAUUGCAGACAUAUUUCCACGUCGAUGAAACACACACUGACCUUCUCCCUGGUGGCCACAGAGGAGCUUCCCAUCUGGAAACACUGAGAUAGAAGCAUCCUUUGCCUCGUCCUCCUCUCCUAACGUAGGUUCUGUGUCCCAGGCUUGAACAACUAACUUGUUUUUUCAUUAAUUCAUUCAGCAACUGUUUAUUGAGCACCUACUGUGUGCCAGGGGCUGGGGCACAUCGGUGAAUGAGAACACGACCACCCUGGGAGCUGACUGGCGAGGGAGAUCAGCUCAGGGGUGCACAGUGCUGUGUCUGAUGGUGGCAAGGACUAGGAAGAACCUAGGACAGGGUGGCAGGGACAUGACAGUGGGGCACAGUGUACAGGGCAGAGUGAGCCAUGGGAGGUUUUGGGGAGGAAAUGUUCCUGGCAGAGGGAAUGGCACAUGCCAGGUUCAUGAGAAAUACACGGUGUGUGUCAGCACAGUGAAGAGGCCAGUGAGGCUGGAGAAGUGAGCCAGGAACCAGAGAGGUUGAGACUGGAGAUAGUGAGCGAGGAACCGGAGGGGGUGAAGCUGGAGAGAGUGAGCCAGGAAUCAGAGGAGGUGAGGCCAGAGAGAGUGAGCGAGGAACCAGAGGGGGUGAGGCUGGAGAGAGUGACCGAGGAACCAGAGGAGGUGAGGCUGGAGAGAGUGAGCCAGGAACCAGAGGAGGUGAGGCCAGAGUGAGUGAGGAGCUUGAAGGGGUGAGGCUGGAGACAGUGAGCGAGGAACCAGAGGGGGUGAGGCUGGAGAGCGUGAGUGAGGAGCCCGAGGGGGUGAGGCUGGAGAGAGUGAGUGAGGAGCCCAAGGGGGUGAAGCCGAGGUGGGUAUGGGGCUGGGUCACCUGGGGUCUCCCAGCCCAGUGGGGGAUUUGGGCAGGGGGCGACGUGGCCAGGGUUCUGUGGUGGGAGACCCAUUCUGAAUGCCGUGUGGGGAACCAACAAGGCUGGGAGAGAGAGUGGUGGUCCAGAAGCGCGUCCGCUCCUGCCCGCCCCUCCUCCAGGCCCCACCACGCUCAGGGCCGGCCUCCCUGGGAUCCUCACACAUACUACCCUCCUCCUCCAACAAGCUCAACAACUUAGGGGAAGGAUGGUCUCCUGCACCCACUGCUCCUGCACAGAAGCCAGCUUUAACGCUGGCUCCAAAGCUUGUUCACCAGACAGGCCACAGCCAGCAUGGUGGGCCUGCCCACUCCAGCGCAGUGGGCAUCGGGGCUGCCUCGGGCAUGGUGGGAUGUUUAGCAGUACCCUUGGCCUCUUCUCACUAAUGCCAGUAGCACCUCUCCAUGUCAUGACAACCAAAUAUGUCUCCAGACAUUGCUACAUGUCCCCUGGGAGGAAAACCAUCCCUGGUCAAGAGCCAUGGCUGUACAAACACACUCCCUAAACAAGCCAAGAAAGGAAGAUGUGUAAAGGUGAGUCAUCGCAGCCGAGUCUGACCUACAAAACCCAAGAGAGAAUGUAGUGCUUUAUCAAGAAGAGAUUAAUGAACUUAGAAGGUGCAUCAUGAAGCAUCAACCAGUGCCUGAAGAUUC
rnacentral:lncRNA from 1 species